GUAAUAUCCAUCCCAUAGACACAAUUUCAUGCACCGUUACAUUGUAUAAUUUUUGGACAAGGAGUUGCACGGUGGACAAUUGGACCUAAUGUAUCUCGGCACAUUAGUGCGUCUGAUUUGUUUUUAGCUGGGGACUUCCGACAUUUUUUCCGCGCAUCGGGACGUAAAACUGAGCGCCCUGGAGACUGGAGCGCACCGCCUCAAAUAGUCUAUGACCCAUGCAGAGCAUACAAAGCCCGAAGUAGGCUACCACUCGCUGUCAGGACUACUGUUUGUGUUGAUGUCAUCGGCGGCCGUGUUCGAACCGGAGCGACCCACGAUUUCUAGUCAGGAUUACUAGAAUAACAAAAAUAUAUCGUACAAUAAUAGUCGUGUUUUUGGCCAACAGUGAAUAUGGGAGUUCUGGCGCACUGUGUUAUUAUUUUUAUAUUCCAGCAUUUGACGUCAUCUUAUGAUUUUAAAGAAGGACAAUAUAACAGCGGUCAGUAUGAAUUUGUGAAAGAUCCCAGUUUGAAUAUCGAAAAGAGAUCACCAGAUUUAGAUCCGUUUGAUUCUGAAUCAUCCGACCACAUUAGGAGCAGAAGAAGUGCGGAUCAAGGAGACUGUAACCGUCUCCAGGGAUUCGACACCAAGUUGACUAACAACACCCAAACCUAUUCCUUCAAUGACCUGAGUGGGUCCGUGUCACUGGCCUGGGUUGGAGACGCCACCGGGGUCAUCCUGGCUCUGACAACAUUCCAGGUGCCGUUCUUCAUGUUGCGAUUCGGUCAGUCUAAACUCUAUCGAAGUGAGAACUACGGGAAGUCGUUCCAGGACGUCACAAACCUCAUCAACAACACUUUCAUCCGGACAGAGUUCGGCAUCGCCAUCGGACCAGAGAACUCUGGGAAGGUGAUCCUGACAGGUGAUGUGUCUGGCAGCCUGGGCUCUCGUAUCUUUAUCUCCAGAGACUUUGGGAACAGCUUUGAGCAGCAGGACCUUCCCUUCAACCCCCUGAUGCAGAUCAUAUACAACCCCAUAGAUGCCAACGUUCUCCUGGUCAUCAGCAACACUAAUGAACUCUGGCUGUCUGAGGACUUUGGGGAGAAGUGGAGGAAGAUCCACGACAUGGUGUGUUUGGCCAAAUGGGGGAUGGACAGUAAUCUAUUCUUUACCACCAACCUCAAUGGAUCCUGCAAUGAAAGGGGGAUGCUAGACUUGAGAAAGACGGCAGACUACGGGAAGACCAUCAAGACUGUUGCCAUUAAAAUCUUCUCUUUCGGCCUGGGGGGAAAGUUCCUGUUUGCUUCUGUUAUGACUGGAACUGGCACUCUGAGGAUGAUCCAUGUGUCGACUAACCAGGGGGAGGAUUGGAACAUGGCUCAGCUGCCUCCGGUUGGCCACGAGGAGUUCUAUUCUAUCUUGUCAGCCAAUGACGACAUGGUUUUCAUGCACGUGGAUGAACCAGGAGACACAGGCUACGGCAGCAUCUACGUGUCAGACGACAGGGGUACGGUGUACUCUAAGUCUCUGGAGCGUCACCUCUACACCACCACAGGGGGAGACACUGACUUCACCAACGUUACCUCUCUACGAGGGGUCUUCAUCACCAGUAUACUGGCAGAGGACGGCUCGGUGCAGUCCGUGGUGUCCUUCGACCAGGGAGGGGAAUGGGUGCCCCUGCAGAAACCUGCCAACACCAAAUGUGACUCCACAGCCAAAGACCCAGACAAGUGCAGUCUCCACAUCCACGCAGCUUACAGCACGGCUAUGAAGCUGAACGUCCCCAUGCUGCCUCUCAGUGAACCAAAUGCUGUAGGACUCAUCAUGGCUCACGGGAGUGUGGGCGAUGCCAUCUCUGUGAUGAAGCCUGACGUAUUCGUGUCAGAUGAUGGAGGUUACACCUGGCUACAGGCCCUGGAGGGACCACACCACUAUGCCAUCCUGGACUCUGGUGGACUCCUGGUGGCCGUGGAGCACUCUGCUCAGCCCAUCAAAGACAUCAAGUUUUCCACAGACGAGGGCCAGUGCUGGCACGUUCACCAGUUCACUAGCGAUCCCAUCCACUUCACAGGGCUAGCAUCGGAGCCGGGGGCGAGGUCUAUGAACGUCAGUGUCUGGGGCUACAGAGACUCUCUGCUCAGUCAGUACUGGGUAUCAGUCACCAUCGACUUCAGAGAGCUGCUCACUAGAGACUGUGAGGACCAAGACUACGUGCAGUGGCUGGCGCACUCUGAUGACAUCAGCGACCCUAACGACGGCUGUAUGUUGGGUUACAAGGAGAAGUUCCUGCGUCUGAGGAAGGCCUCUGUCUGCUUGAACGGACGGGACUAUGAGGUCAACAAGCAACCCGCCCCUUGUCCCUGCACCCUGGAUGACUUUCUGUGUGACUUUGGGUACUAUCGUAAAGAGAACAGCUCCGAGUGUGUGGAGCAGCCGGACCUGAAGGGCCACGUUCUGGAGUUCUGUCUGCAAGGCAAGAAGGAGCUGCUGCAGACCAGAGGCUAUAGGAAGAUCCCUGGGGAUAAGUGUGAGGGAGGAACACAGCCGGAAAGAAAAGAGAUAGACCUCAGUAAGAGGUGUGUCAAUGACCUACUGGGACCUCAGGAACUACUGGUGAGUAGAGAUGACCACGCCACUGGUUCUCACUGGUCUUCAGUGGUCCACACUGGUUUUCACUGGUUCUCACUGGUCUUCAGUGGUCCACACUGGUUUUCACUGGUUUUCAGUGGUCCACACUGGUUUUCAGUGGUCCACACUGGUUUUCAGUGGUCCACACUGGUUUUCACUGGUUCUCACUGGUCUUCAGUGGUCCACACUGGUUUUCACUGGUCUUCAGUGGUCCACACUGGUUUUCACUGGUCUUCAGUGGUCCACACUGGUUUUCACUGGUUCUCACUGGUCUUCAGUGGUCCACACUGGUUUUCACUGGUUCUCACUGGUCCUGUUCUAGAAUGUAAAAAAAACUAUGGAAGGAAUCCUUGCGUAACAACAUUUAUUGAAUUUGACAACUUACGUAUAACAAGGGCAGUUGGAACGUGGAAUCACUUAAAACAUUUUAACCCAAGAGACUGACAGAAAGAUUGAUAGGGAUUUCAUCUUCAAAACAGUGUAAACCUCAGUAACCAUCGGUUACAUGACCUUAAUCCUGCUGCACGACUGUCAGUAGUCAUGGUAACACAUGAUUUCCCAUUUCUGGAAGUCUCUCUCUCUCUCUCUAUGUAUACUGCAUGACAACGAUGGAAGAGUUGUCCUUGUACUCUCUCUGUAUCUCUCCCCUCCUAAAGACGGACGGCCAUCUGUCCAGCUCAGCGCCCAUCGUAGUGACGGUUCUGAUUAUUAUCCUGCUCAGUGUCGUGGCCGGGUUCCUCUUUGUCAAGAAGUACGUCUGCGGUGGAAGGUCAGUACAGCAAAUGUUGUUUUAAGAUUGGUACAUAGCAAGUCAAGCUAUACUGUUGUUUUAAGAUCGGUACAUAGCAAAUCAAGCUAUACUGUUGUUUUAAGAUCGGUACAUAGCAAAUCAAGCUAUACUGUUGUUUUAAGAUCGGUACAUAGCAAAUCAAGCUAUACUGUUGUUUUAAGAUCGGUACAUAGCAAAUCAAGCUAUACUGUUGUUUUAAGAUCGGUACAUAGCAAAUCAAGCUAUACUGUUGUUUUAAGAUCGGUACAUAGCAAAUCAAGCUAUACUGUUGUUUUAAGAUCGGUACAUAGCAAAUCAAGCUAUACUGUUGUUUUAAGAUCGGUACAUAGCAAAUCAAGCUAUACUGUUGUUUUAAGAUCGGUACAUAGCAAAUCAAGCUAUACUGUUGUUUACGAUCAGAGACGGUUACUCAAGCACAGUGAAAAAAAUGUUAAAUAUCUGAGCCAGCACCGUUUGGUUCUGGUCGGCACAAUGAUGUGUGAAAAGGUUAUAAGUGGCUCGGGCUGUUUUGAUUGGCUCCUCCAGGUUCCUGGUACACAGGUACUCUGUCCUACAGCAGCAUGCUGAGGCCCAGGGAGACGGAGUAGACGAGCCAUUAGACAGCAACCACACUCGGGCUAGCAACAAGACCGGCUUACACGAUUCAGACGAGGAUCUUCUGGAGUAACAGGUGGCAUUUCCAGCUACCAGGAGGAACCCCUAGCCUCCUGUCUCUCCUUUACAACCUAGAAGCUCCUGCAGCUACCAGGGGAAUCUAGUCUCCUGUCUGUCCUUAGGCUCACUGCUCUAUAUUGAAGAACAAGUUUGUCCUAUGUGUACACCGAGGCUCGCUGCUGCUCUCUUCUUCGCUUCCUGUUACUUCCUCCUCCUCCCCUCCACCAUGACCCUUUAACUCUUAACCCCUGACCUUACAUCGCCUGGUGGAGAGUCCUUCUAACGCAGCUCUCAUCAGUGAGGUAUCCAAUGAGGCUUUCCGUUCUGAGUGAGACACACAUACAGAGUUCAGCAGGAGAGCAAAGGGGGCCAGUAGUGUUGUUGUUGUGGUUGAUUUCAGAAUGUAUUCUUCCAAGUUCUUUUGGGAACAAUUGAGUGAUGGAAUGUGGUGGUUCUGGACUACUGGUGAACAUUUAAAUAAUGGACCUUUGGAACUGCUGUGUAGAAGCUGUUUUUAUCAUCAUCAGCAUCUUCUCUUAACAACAUAAAGCUAUCUUUUUUUUUUUUCAACCAAGUGAACAUAAACAACAUUACGGGUUAUACACGCUUGGGACUGGGGCUCUUGGGAAUAUUACAUAUAUGCGCUUCUAAUGAAGACUUUUCCUGUUUCCCCCCCCCUGCACUGUACAUAAAGAGCUUUCCUUUUUUCAUUGAUGUGACAGAGUCAGGGACAUGGUACAUGGGUUGCUGUUGGGUACUGUGGCUUGGAAAAAUGAUUUGUAAGUAUUUUGCCUAACUAAUAAGAUGCAAGUGGAAAUAUUUAUAAGCAUUUAAAGUUGGAUAGCAAUAACAUGUUUUAGAUCCACUGUAUCAACACACUAAGCUUUCAUAGCAGGAGUGAACAUCCCUCUAAACUAGACUGAACUAAAGCAACGCAUCCUAACCCGAGAAAUGUGUACCUGACUCAAACUUUCACCUCCUAAAUCAUGCAUUUGAUUUCAAUGGGGUAAUACAAAAUAAUGUUGCGUGCAUGUAUUUCAAAUUAUAAUUUGGCUGUGGAACAAUGUCCUUUUUUUUGUAUUUGAGAACUGUCUGUUUUAGUUAGUCAGAGGGAGAAAAUCUAGUGUACAAAUAGCUAUUGGCCUUACGCCUCUUCAUUUCUCAAUAAAAAAUGGUGUUUUAAUAUGUUAAGGUAAUCCUACAUCAGUGAAAGUAGAUCUAAAAGUGAAGAAAGAACAGUUGGAAUCCAUCACUGGACUACACAAUGAGUUAGCACUAACACACACACACACACAUCGAGGCUGCUGGUUUAUAUUUGGCUGCUACUGUGCCCAGGUGUUGCAUUGUGGGCAGAGCAUGUUUGAGCAGUAGAUCAGAGCUGAUAAGAUGGAGAGGGCACCAAUGUAAACACAGGAAGUAAAAGCACAUUUGUAAAUGUAGUACAUAGAUCUGAACAUUAUUGAUGAAGCAGUUUGCUAGAAGAAGUGGGGUUUUUAUAACAAUGUUGUAUGGAUGUGUAGCAGUUUAACACUGGCGUGCCUGUUUUCAGUGUGUGUAGAACCGACCUCUAUGUACUGUAGCUCAUAUGUGAAUAUGAGAUGAGCUAAUUCUACUGAAUCACAUAUUUUAUUACGGUUUAACUACCUGAGAAGGUCAUUGACUUAGUUUCAGAGACAGGAUCAUUCUAGCCUCGGAAGCCCAUUUGGGGGUAAUGUCUGUGUAGUAUGGGGGGUUGGGUCUGUGCCUUCCCAAUGAGUGGCAAGUGUAUGUACUGUCUAUAAUAGAUUCAAAGUGUGCAUCCCAAAUAGCACCUUGUUCCCUAUAUAGGGGACUACUUUUGACCAGGGCCCAUAGGAUGCACCCUAGAUGUCUGUGUAACCACAGUUGCAUUCACUUUGUCAUUGACACCCCGUAGAUUGCACUUAGUGUAAUUAUGUGAAUAAGGAUUUCACCUCAAAUGAAACUCCCUUCAAUACCGACUACCCUUCUGUUCAGUACAACUGUUCUCUGAAUACUCUCCCAAUCUAUAAGGCAAUGGGAACAUAAAACUCAUUUGAUUCCCUUGUCAUGUAAUACAGGGGGUGGCAGCGUAGCCUAGUGGUUAGAGCGUUGGACUAGUAACCGGAAGGUUGCGAGUUCAAACCUCCGAGCUGACUAGGUACAAAUCUGUCGUUCUGCCCCUGAACAGGCAGUUAACCCACUGUUCCCAGGCCAUCAUUGAAAAUAAGAAUUUGUUCUUAACUGACUUGCCUAGUUAAAUAAAGGUACAAUAAAAUACAACUUGAUUUGUCCACUGUGAAACAGACAAAUGCAAUGUUUCAUCUCAUAAUGCAGCCUAUACGUGGUGUUCGGUUUGUACAAAAACAUCUCUGUACUUGCACAGGACUAAAAUAAAUGUCGCUUGGCAUAUAGAGGCAACACCUGUACUGUAGUUAACACUGGGAAGACCCUUGUUCUGAAUUAUUCAUACCUAUUUAAUCAUGCUGGUUUUGUCUUUUGAUUUGAGAGGUGACCCUUCUUUUCUUACAUGUUUAAAAUGGCUGUAUAAAGAAAUAAUUGUGAUGCUCAAUUGUUGAAUCUGGGUAUCUCUUGUUCUGUAUAUUUGAGAUAAUUUUGCUUUGGGUUGACGACCAAUAAAUUAACUUGCCCCUUU